rnacentral:misc_RNA from 1 species
AAGAAAUAUGCAUGAAUUCACGUGAAUUUAAGAAAUUAGUUAUUGAUAUGAUAGAAAGAAUCUCAUAAUAUAUCACAAAAUGUACAGAACUGAUUGAAAACUGAAUAGUGUUUCUACCAAGUGUGAAAUGAAAUCUAGUGCUAAGGAUGGAACCUCUAGGUUCGGGUUCUAUAGAAGUAAACCUUCAGAGCCAGUUUCAACCUCAGGUCCAUCAAAAACGAACAGCUCACGCAAUCCUCCAAAGCCGUUGGCUCUGUCUAAACCGGUUCCUGCAGCGUCAAAACAGGUUUCUGCAGGGUCAAAACCGGUUUCUGUUCUGUCCUCGUCAGUUCCAAGUAGUCAGCAACCUCCUCCUUCAUCCUCUUACUCUUCCAGGUUCGGGUUCUCUCGCUCCAGAUCUACGUUGAACAAUAAUACCGGGGGUACAAGUAAACAGAAGAAUGACGCUGAAAAUGGAGGAAUAGAGAAGGAUGGUAGAAAAGAGAAGGAAGAGGGGAAAGAGAAGGAUAACAAAAUUUUAACUAUCCAAUCCUUGCAGCAAUCUCCAAAACCAAUUCAAAAAUUUUCUCCAAAAUUUGGAAAAAGAUUUUCUCCCAAAUUCUCCCGACAAGAAAAAAAGUCAGGUUCUCCUGUCCGCGAGUAUAAGAGGGGAGGAUUAGUACCUAGACCCUAUAAACCGCUAACUGAUCAUUAUAUAUCAAAACCUACUCUUAGCUUAACAGCUUACGCAGGAUUUAAAUAUAAAUUCAAUCUAAAGAAAGAAUCAAGUUCUUCUUCUUCAAUUAACUCAGUCAUUGAAAACAGUUCACAAGAUGGCGGGAGAGAGCCUAAAAAUCCGGGAAUGGAUGUGAGAAAUCAGGAACCGGUUUCUAACAGAUUCGGAGGAACCUACAGUAAAGGUCCGGCCAGCAGGACAACCCCUCUUAGCUUUGGUUCAACCUCAUCAAGAUUUACGAGCACUGUGUCCGACAGCCAUAAAAUAGAGGUUGGAAUAAAAUCUGACGCUAGCAUGAGAUCGGAAACUAUCAGCACAGGAAACAAAGGUUUACCCAACAGAGAAGACUUCAGUAGCAAACCAACAGAAGUUCCGUUAGGGACAAAGAGAGCUUUUGCAAGCCGACUUGGUUCAAGUUCUUUAAACUUCAAUCGGUCAGCAGUGUCAGAUAAGCCUGAUAUCUCCGGUUUAAGAGCAAGCUUCUUCAGUAGAGACACUUCAAGAACAGGAUCCUGGAGCAGGAGUAGUGCUCAGAGCAGGGAGGAGAUGGAGAAAAGAGCAGGAGAGGGAAGCAGGGCUGAUGGGAUAAGUACAACAGAAGGAAUGAGUACAGGAGAUGGGAUGAGUAGAGUUGGCGGGAUGAAUGCAGGUGGAAUGAUAAGUACUGAUAAACAGAAACCUCUCAACCCUGAGCCAGAAACUAGGAACUUCAGAAUGCGACAACAGUUUACCCAAUCAAGAGAAAGCUCCCAGGGGUCUGCAAUCUAUGAAUCAACAUCAGUUCAAGAUAAAACCAUAAACCAUCAGGAAAAUCAGAACAAUGCAACAUAUGAAAUUGGAAAAGACACCCUUGCCAUGAUUUCUGGACUUUCCCAGCUGGGCCAGGGCACUGCAGGGAUGCGAAGUUGGACUCGGCAACAAGCUGCGCCACGUUUUGGAACUUCCAGUGUUGAAGGAGGAACCACGGACUCUGAUUUCACUAUUUCGGCAGUUGUCUCGGAUAUAAGGACCAGAACAGGAUCCGAUCAGGGUUCUGGUAAUCUCAGAAAAUGGACAAAAAGUCUGGCCCCAGCUCAACAGAUACCAACACCUUCAAAUCUUUCCGAGGAGAGAGAUGCAAGUAUCUCUAGGCUGGGUGAGAACAGACCAAGUGCUCUAGAUUGUUUAAACAAACUUAAACUAUCAACUAAAUCUGUUCUAGACCAUCACAGGACUGGAAUAAGAACAAAUCCUAAGGUUUCCAAACGUAGUUCUGUUCUCCCUGAUAUUCCACAGGAGAACAGUUUUUGUGAAGAUCCUACCAAUCCUUCAGCUAAUCAGGCUCACAAGGAACUAGAAGAGAUAACAGAGGAAAAGAUGGACAGGGAAAAGAUUUCAGAAUAUGAUCUGGAUCUGGACUGUGAACUCGUCAUCAUAGAUACAGACGAGGAGGUGUUCAAAGUUCCACAGAAGAUUGAGAAACCUAGAGUAGUUCGUACUAAGAUGAUACCUGAGAGAAAAGAGCCCGUUCUGACAGAAAGGACGGAGAAGUCACCAAACGAAACCGAGUCCGACAGCGGGUUCUUUACGUCUAGUCAUAGCAAGUAUAGUCUUGAAAGUUUACAAGAGGAGAGGAUUUCUGACAAAGAGGAACAGAAGGAGGGAACAGAAAAUAUACAAAUGCCGGAGGUAGAACUCAGAAAUGGAUCUAAACGAGGAGGAUCUCAGCCUCCAAAACCUCCUAAAUACUACCAGGCCUCAGUAAAGCUGUCUACAAGCCUACCAACCUCCUUCACGAGCUCCAGAGGGGAGAAGAGCAGGUCAGGGUUUCUAUCACUCUCCGACCACCAGACAAACAGGGACAUGACAACCUCGACAAACACAUUCAGUGAUGUUGAUGAAAUGUGUAGUAGUAGAGAAACCUCUCCAUUAGAGCUUCUAGAUGAACUUUUCAAGAAAACAGACAAAGAUGAACGAAAAGCAAUAUCCCCUGGGUUAGUCAAGGAAAACCGCCAAAUAUUUGAACGAAAAUCGCAGGAUAACAUCAACAAAUUAAUCGGGAAAUCCGCCAAAAUCACUGAAAAGUACAAAGAGCAGUCCUCUAUGGAAAAAUUGCGAACAAUAAUGCAAUCUGAACAAGUGCCAACCAAACCAGUAACAAGUCUUUUGAGUCCAGAUGAGACAGAUUCAAGUUUAACGGGUGUUUCAAAAUCUUCCACAAAACAAUCAUUUCAGGAUAUGACUGCUUCCAUCACUAAUUCCAUCAGCAUGUGCUCCUCCUAUACCGAGGGCAGUGCAGGCGAGGUUCAGGAGAAAACAACUACGAGUAAGACGACCUCGUCUCCAAGCACCUAUUCAGAUAACGAGAAGGACUUUCUCAUUGACGAUGAUUAUAAGGACCAGCCACAGUUGACGUUUUACGAUCAGGAGGACAGCAUAGAGGAAAGUAUAUUUUCCACCUUGGAUUCUCUUCUGGCUGGGAACAGAGUGGAGAAUCAAGAUGUGAAACCUGUUGAGACGGAGAAGGUAUCUGAACUAAGAACUAGAUCUCCAAGGAAGACUAGUUUUGAUGUAAACCAAGGGAGCAGGAAGAAUAGUUUACCUGGGAGUCCCAUCAGACCGGUUUCAGCUGCCGGGCCGAACCUUCGCAGGUUCAGUCUAACCAACCAUGUGAAGGAACAACUAGAGCGGGCAUACGAGGAUACAGACGGGGCCCGGCUUAGGUCUAGAGCUGAUACAUUAUCUAGUCUAGCUUCUGAUGAUUGUAUUCUGGAUUUUGAAUGCAGAUUGUCUGAUGAUGAGGAUGGGGAACAGAAAAUGGUGAAUAAAGAAAGGAGCUUGAGUCCACGUAUUCGUGAGGUGUCUCGGAAUUUCGAGGAUAUGGGUCGGGUCGAGGAGAAGGAGAGGUCGAGGAGGGUCGAGGAUGGAAGAGGAGGAGGAGGAGGAGGAUCAGAUAAAUAUUCUGAAUAUAGACCUAGUUUAUCCAGAUCUAGUUCUACAGUCUCAGACGAAGGAAUUAUUAUAGAUCGGAGCACACAUAACAGCAUAACACAGGAUACACUAGAGAUUAAACUCCUUCUACUCAAACUUAGAAGAAUUCUACAGGAGACGGAUGAUGAUGGAGGUCUACCCAGUAAUCUACUAGAAACUCUAGCUUUACAGGAUGUAGAGGAUAACAGUUUGCGGGAAGAGAAUCUAGUUCUGAGAAAACAAGUCCUACAACUCAAACAACAGGUUGAAGAGAAGGAUAGGAAAUUAAAAAGUUUAAAUCGUCUCCUUCCAUCCAACUCAGCAAAUACUAACAAUAAUCAGACUAGAAAUGCAGCAAUUCAGACUGACCGGCAGCGACCUGUCUCCUGCGGUUCAGUUGCACAGGACGGUUUAAUCAGUUACAGUAGUGAAUCCUCCCUAUUACCCAGCAAGCCUCCCACCCACCCUCCAACUACCACGCCUACUCCCCACCCCUCGGGCACGGCAGCCUCCACACGACGAGUGUCUAGAGACCGAGGUCGGGUACUACCGACCCCUUUGGAGGUCUCAAGAAUCCCUAGGGAGGUCUCUAGAAGCCCCAGUGGAGGUCGGCAUACAGCUCGGAGGGCGGAGUCACCUAGACACGCCUACUGCAGAAACCCAAUAUAUUCCAGUUACAGUCAGCUGUACAGUGGCAGUACACGACACAACUGGUUUAGUAGUGUACUAAACAACAACAACCAUAAUAUAUUAAACAGUACUGAUAGCGAGGGGAGCUCGUCAAACAGCUCUAACAGUUUCAGAUACAACAUGGCCAGAGCUAUAUCCGUCGGUAGACUACCCUCACACAAAGAGAAGUAUUUCUCAACACGGGAUGGAAAACUCUGCAUAUCCUUACACAACAAGUAGAUAAAUCUUCACUGGAAUAUAAUCAGUACAUGCAGUACAAUAGGGUCUUAAACAAUAUAGUUCACAGUACAGUGUCUUUCAAGAACAUGUACUGUGGGGAAGAAAGUGUGAAAGUUAUAAAGCUUACAAAAAAAACUAAUGUCAACUCUGUAAAAUUCUCUGUUC